AUGCACCCUGAGGCCUUCCUGCUUCCUGUUGUUGUGGCUACUGUGCUAUGGGGAGCAGCCUGUAUCUGAGGGCUUAUUCCAGUGACUUCAGAACACAAUGCCAGCAUGAACUUUGCAGACCUUCCAGCUCUAUUUGGGGCCACUCUGAGUGAUGAGGGACUCCAGGAGUUCCUUGUGGAGGCCCACGUAGAAAAUGCUUGGAGUCCUUUUGCUCCACCACCCUCAGCCCCAGUCAAUGGGGCUGCUUCACUGCGCUGCUUCGGAGACUCGACUGCAACUUUCACCUCAAGGUCCUAAAUGCUGAGAAAGCUGGGUAUGGUGCAGCUGUGAUACACAAUGUGAAUUCCAAUGAACGUCUAAAUAUGGUGUGAAAUAGUGAGGAAAUUCAACAACAGAUCUGGAUCCCAUCUGUAUUUAUCGGAGAAAGAAGUGCAGAGUACCUACAAGCCCUUUUUGUUUGUGAGAAGUGGGCUCAGGUGCUUCUGGUUCCAGACAAUAGCUUCCCCUUGGGCUAUUACCUCAUUCCUUCUACUGGGAUUUUAGGACUGCUGGUUUUGGCCAUGGGAACAGUACUGAUAGUUCAAAGUAUCCAGCACCAAAAUGGCUUCAACGGAACCAACUUACCAAAGAGCAACUGAAACAGAUUCCUACCCAUGACUAUCAAAAAGGAGAUCAAUAUGAUGUCUGUGCCAUCUGUCUGGAUGAAUAUGAAGAUGGGGACAAGUUUUGGGUACUUCCCUGUGCUCAUGCUUAUCACAGUUGCUUCAUGGACCCCUGGCUCACUCAGACCAGAAAGACCUGCCCUAUCUGCAAACAGCCCAUCCACCGAGGUCCUGGGGAUGAAGAGCAAGAAGAAGAAACUCAAGGGCAAAAGGAAGGUGGUGAAGGGGAGCCAAGGGACCAACCUGCUUCAGAAUGGACCCCACUCUUGGGCUCUAUCCCUGCUCUUCCCACCUCCUUUGGAUCCCUAGUCCCUGUUCCCCUGGUCUUUCCUGAGCCCUCCACAGAUCCUUCACUUUCUCCUUCAUCUACUGCCCUGGCCUGA